rnacentral:rRNA from 1 species
GAACGAGAAAGUGGAGCAAUCCAUGAGUAAAGUGGCGACCGGGUGAGUAACACGUGACUAACCUACCCUCGAGUGGGGAAUAACUCCGGGAAACCGGGGCUAAUACCGCAUAACAUCGCAAGAUCAAAGCAGCAAUGCGCUUGAGGAGGGGGUCGCGGCUGAUUAGCUAGUUGGCGGGGUAACGGCCCACCAAGGCGAUGAUCGGUAGCCGGCCUGAGAGGGCGCACGGCCACACUGGAACUGAAACACGGUCCAGACUCCUACGGGAGGCAGCAGUGGGGAAUUUUGCGCAAUGGGGGAAACCCUGACGCAGCAACGCCGCGUGGAGGAUGAAGCCCCUUGGGGGUGUAAACUCCUUUCGAUCGGGACGAUUAUGACGGUACCGGAUGAAGAAGCACCGGCUAACUACGUG